rnacentral:rRNA from 1 species
UACGUAGGGUGCGAGCGUUAAUCGGAAUUACUGGGCGUAAAGCGUGCGCAGGCGGUUUGCUAAGACCGAUGUGAAAUCCCCGGGCUUAACCUGGGAACUGCAUUGGUGACUGGCAGGCUAGAGUAUGGCAGAGGGGGGGUAGAAUUCCACGUGUAGCAGUGAAAUGCGUAGAGAUGUGGAGGAAUACCGAUGGCGAAGGCAGCCCCCCUGGGCCAAAUACUGACGCUCAUGCACGAAAGGCGUG